UCUCAAUAUCCAACCAUUGAAAGUUUGAAACAUUCAUUUUUUUUUCCUAGUCGGUAUGUUAUUUUCUUUUUCAAUUUUUGGAUCAAGAAGAGUUCCUAUUCUUGAUGAGUGAGUACAUAAGUUUCAAUUAUAAUGAAGAUAAGAUCCAAAUUCUUUUCCAUUUGGCUCCCAAGACCAAUUUUUUAGGUUUGAGGGAUGUGGAUUUGCAUUACAUCUCUAUGGAUCCAAGCAUACUCAACAUGGUAUCCUUAUAGAAAAUUCAUAUUCAUGCAAAAAUGGUUUUCGAAAUGGAAACACAAAUUUUGUGCAUCUUAUUUAAAUAGUAAUUUUUACUCACAUUCCAAACAUUAUCAAUACAUUUUACUCACAUUCCAAACAUUACAUCACUAUAAUCUGAUGUAAUGUUCGGUAUACUAUUUUCUUCCAUUGAGUGUUGCAAUGGAAUAUGCUAUGUGAUUGUUUGUUUUUGCGGUGAACAUGUAUCAAACAUGUGGUGGUAUUGAAGUUACUAAUGCGAGAUUAUAAAAGAACGCAAGACGAAGCUGUUUACACUAGAAGAAGAAAAAUUACAUAUUUGUUUGAAAUACUCAAAUGUUAUGGUUGAUCAGAAGCUAAAUAUUAGAGAUUUUGAAAAUCACAUCGGAAGACCUCUAAACUCAUGUUGGCGGUUGUCCAUUAUUCAACCAAAGACACACUUAUUCUCACAAUGGACUUUGCCUUACUGAAACUAAGAUACUAUAUAUAUAUAUAUAUAUUAGCUUUAACCCUCAAAUUUCUAGGUAAAUAGAGUCCUAAUAAUCUGAAAUGAGAUUGACAUGUAAGUAAAGUCAUAUCAAUAAUUGUUUCAGUUAGGGUUUGAAUUCAAAUUUUACCGAACGAUUAUUUCUUAAAACUUAUUUAUCACUUGAGUCCAAUAAAACUAAGAUGCUAUAUGAUUACUAUUAUGUACAUUUGACUCUCCUUUAAAUUAUUUAAUUGUACCACAUUAAUCCUUUAAUUUUUUUGUCCCAAAUAGGUGAUUUAAGUCACAUUAGGUGUACAUUGUUAUCCUUUUCAAGCAUCAACCUAUAAAAAUGCACAAGUUUUAAUUA